rnacentral:rRNA from 1 species
GACGAACGCUGGCGGCGCGCCUAACACAUGCAAGUCGAACGGAGUCAAGAGGGGCUUGCUUUUCUUGACUUAGUGGCGAACGGGUGAGUAACGCGUGAGUAACCUGCCCUGGAGUGGGGGACAACAGUUGGAAACGACUGCUAAUACCGCAUAAGCCCACGAUCCGGCAUCGGAUUGAGGGAAAAGGAUUUAUUCGCUUCAGGAUGGACUCGCGUCCAAUUAGCUAGUUGGUGAGGUAACGGCCCACCAAGGCGACGAUUGGUAGCCGGACUGAGAGGUUGAACGGCCACAUUGGGACUGAGACACGGCCCAGACUCCUACGGGAGGCAGCAGUGGGGGAUAUUGCACAAUGGGGGAAACCCUGAUGCAGCGACGCCGCGUGGAGGAAGAAGGUUUUCGGAUUGUAAACUCCUGUCGUUAGGGACGAUAAUGACGGUACCUAACAAGAAAGCACCGGCUAACUACGUGCCAGCAGCCGCGGUAAAACGUAGGGUGCAAGCGUUGUCCGGAAUUACUGGGUGUAAAGGGAGCGCAGGCGGACCGGCAAGUUGGAAGUGAAAACUAUGGGCUCAACCCAUAAAUUGCUUUCAAAACUGCUGGCCUUGAGUAGUGCAGAGGUAGGUGGAAUUCCCGGUGUAGCGGUGGAAUGCGUAGAUAUCGGGAGGAACACCAGUGGCGAAGGCGACCUACUGGGCACCAACUGACGCUGAGGCUCGAAAGCAUGGGUAGCAAACAAGAUUAGAUACCCUGGUAGUCCAUGCCGUAAA